UACAGCCAUAUCACAUUUAAACACUGGUUACUGUAUGAACACCAAAGUUAAGCAAUAUUGAGCCUGGUCAGUACUUUGACAGGUAACCUUUAGUGAAUACCAGAUGCUGUAAG